AGGGUUCGAUUCUGGCUCAGGAUGAACGCUGGCGGCGUGCUUAACACAUGCAAGUCGAACGGGAUCCGGCCAGCUUGCUGGUUGGUGAGAGUGGCGAACGGGUGAGUAAUGCGUGACCGACCUGCCCCAUGCUCCGGAAUAGCUCCUGGAAACGGGUGGUAAUGCCGGAUGCUCCACAGGGCUGCAUGGCCCUGUGGGAAAGCGCUUAGCGGCAUGGGAUGGGGUCGCGUCCUAUCAGCUUGACGGCGGGGUAACGGCCCACCGUGGCUUCGACGGGUAGCCGGCCUGAGAGGGCGACCGGCCACAUUGGGACUGAGAUACGGCCCAGACUCCUACGGGAGGCAGCAGUGGGGAAUAUUGCGCAAUGGGGGGAACCCUGACGCAGCGACGCCGCGUGCGGGAUGGAGGCCUUCGGGUUGUAAACCGCUUUUGAUCGGGAGCAAGCCUUCGGGUGAGUGUACCUUUCGAAUAAGCGCCGGCUAACUACGUGCCAGCAGCCGCGGUAAUACGUAGGGCGCAAGCGUUAUCCGGAUUUAUUGGGCGUAAAGGGCUCGUAGGCGGUCCGUCGCGUCCGGUGUGAAAGUCCAUCGCUUAACGGUGGAUCUGCGCCGGGUACGGGCGGGCUGGAGUGCGGCAGGGGAGACUGGAAUUCCCGGUGUAACGGUGGAAUGUGUAGAUAUCGGGAAGAACACCAAUGGCGAAGGCAGGUCUCUGGGCCGUUACUGACGCUGAGGAGCGAAAGCGUGGGGAGCGAACAGGAUUAGAUACCCUGGUAGUCCACGCCGUAAACGGUGGACGCUGGAUGUGGGGCCCUUUCCACGGGUUCCGUGUCGGAGCUAACGCGUUAAGCGUCCCGCCUGGGGAGUACGGCCGCAAGGCUAAAACUCAAAGAAAUUGACGGGGGCCCGCACAAGCGGCGGAGCAUGCGGAUUAAUUCGAUGCAACGCGAAGAACCUUACCUGGGCUUGACAUGUUCCCGACAGCCGUAGAGAUGCGGCCUCCCUUCGGGGCGGGUUCACAGGUGGUGCAUGGUCGUCGUCAGCUCGUGUCGUGAGAUGUUGGGUUAAGUCCCGCAACGAGCGCAACCCUCGCCCCGUGUUGCCAGCAUUUCGGAUGGGAACUCACGGGGGACCGCCGGGGUUAACUCGGAGGAAGGUGGGGAUGACGUCAGAUCAUCAUGCCCCUUACGUCCAGGGCUUCACGCAUGCUACAAUGGCCGGUACAGCGGGAUGCGACAUGGUGACAUGGAGCGGAUCCCUGAAAACCGGUCUCAGUUCGGAUCGGAGCCUGCAACCCGGCUCCGUGAAGGCGGAGUCGCUAGUAAUCGCGGAUCAGCAACGCCGCGGUGAAUGCGUUCCCGGGCCUUGUACACACCGCCCGUCAAGUCAUGAAAGUGGGCAGCACCCGAAGCCGGUGGCCUAACCCCUUGCGGGGAGGGAGCCGUCUAAGGUGAGGCUCGUGAUUGGGACUAAGUCGUAACAAGGUAGCCGUACCGGAAGGUGCGGCUGGAUCACCU
rnacentral:rRNA from 1 species